rnacentral:rRNA from 1 species
UCGGGAAUUUUGGGCAAUGGGCGAAAGCCUGACCCAGCAACGCCGCGUGAAGGAUGAAGUAUUUCGGUAUGUAAACUUCGAAAGAAUGGGAAGAAUAAAUGACGGUACCAUUUAUAAGGUCCGGCUAACUACGUGCCAGCAGCCGCGGUAAUACGUAGGGACCAAGCGUUGUUCGGAUUUACUGGGCGUAAAGGGCGCGUAGGCGGCUUAACAAGUCACUUGUGAAAUCUCCGGGCUUAACUCGGAACGGCCAAGUGAAACUGUUAAGCUAGAGUGCAGAAGGGGCAAUCGGAAUUCUUGGUGUAGCGGUGAAAUGCGUAGAUAUCAAGAGGAACACCUGAGGUGAAGACGGGUUGCUGGGCUGACACUGACGCUGAGGCGCGAAAGCCAGGGGAGCAAACGGGAUUAGAUACCCCUGUAGUCCCUGAGCGGGCUGGCAAGGCGCAU